UCGUUCACUGCAAUACGUGUACAAUAUAACGACGCAUUCCGAAUACUCAUGGGUUUGCCGAGGUAUUGCAGUGCUUCUACUAUGUUUGCCGAAGCGAGAGUGCCCGACUUCUAUUGUAUUGUUAGAGCUCGCGUGGCAUCCUUUUGGGAAAGACUUCGGAGCUCUAACAAUACAAUACUCAAGGUUGUUUGUGAAGGGAUGCCCAGCCCUAUUUUUAAUUAUUGGUUGUCUGUACACCAGGAUAAGAACAGAAAAUAAUACCUGUGACCUGUGACAUCUGAAAUGAGUUUUUUAACCAUUUCAGUUAGUCUUAAGUUAAUCUAAUGUAAGUGAAUGCUUUUAAUGUAACUUUUAUUUUAUUUUAAUUU